rnacentral:rRNA from 1 species
CUGGUUGAUCCUGCCAGUAGUCAUAUGCUUGUCUCAAAGAUUAAGCCAUGCAUGUCUAAGUCCAAGCUGUGCUUGUCACGGCGAGACCGCGGACGGCUCAUUAAAUCAGUCGUGGUCCAAAUGGGCCAGUGCAAAUCCUACUUGGAUAACUGUGGUAAUUCCAGAGCUAAUACAUGCAACUGAUAUCCCGAGGUUGCGCGCUUGCUUGCUUGCCUUGCUUGCGUGUUUUCCGACGGAUGCUUUUAUUAGACCAAACUGCUGGGGACUUGGGCUUCGUGCUCUCGUUCGACUCGUGUGAUGGUGACUCUGGAUAACCAAUUUUGACAAGCGCACGUACUCCUCUUCUGAGCGAGACGGCGCUGCCACUUUCGAGUGUCUGCCUUAUCAGCUAUCAACCGUUCGUUAUGCGCGACCGAUGGCUUUGACGGGUAACGGGGAAUCAGGGUUCGAUUCCGGAGAGGCAGCCUGAGAGACGGCUACCACGUCCAAGGACGGCAGCAGGCACGCAAAUUACCCAAUCCCAGCAAAUGGGGGAGGUAGUGACGAAAUCUAACGAUGCGGGCGCCCUUUUUGGGGCCCCGCAAUCGGAAUGGGCACUUUCUAAACAACCUGUUGAGAACCUACUGAAGGGCAAGUCUGGUGCCAGCAGCC